rnacentral:tRNA from 1 species
GGAGAGGUGGCAGAGUGGUAAUGCAGCAGAUUGCUAAUCUGUCGACCUUUUUUGGUCGCCAGGGUUCGAGUCCCUGUCUCUCCGCAA